GUUAGAUUUUACUGCAAAAAAAGGCACAUAUUUGGAUUCAGCAAAGUCUAACGAGUACAACAGUAUCCCCUCACUAACCGUUUUUAUGGUGUUUUGGAAAGUUAAAGGGUCAAAUAUAGCACAUUACAUUUUUCAGUUUUUUCAAAUUGAAAUUUGCCAGAUUAGUAAUGUUACCUUUGAGACCGUGUAGUAGCCCAGGAAUGCGAUUUACCCCCAUGAUGGCAUACCAUUUGCAAAAGUAGGCUACCCAAGGUAUUGCAAGUGGGGUAUGUCCAGUCUUUUGUAGUAGCCACUUAGUCACAUGAAGUGCCGUUCAUGUGUGAAAAAUGCAAAAAACGUCACUUUUACUAAAAAUAUCAUUGUUCUAAUACAAGUUACCAUUUUGAAACACUAAUAUUUGUGUUCAGCGAAGUCUCCUGAGUAAUCAGUACCCCCCAUGUACAGGUUUUAUGGUGUAUUGGAAAGUUAC